CCUACGGGAGGCAGCAGUGGGGAAUAUUGCACGAUGGGCGCAAGCCUGAUGCAGCCAUGCCGCGUGUGUGAAGAAGGCCUUCGGGUUGUAAAGCACUUUCAGCGGGGAGGAAGGCGGUGAGGUUAAUAACCUCAUCGAUUGACGUUACCCGCAGAAGAAGCACCGGCUAACUCCGUGCCAGCAGCCGCGGUAAUACGGAGGGUGCAAGCGUUAAUCGGAAUUACUGGGCGUAAAGCGCACGCAGGCGGUCUGUCAAGUCGGAUGUGAAAUCCCCGGGCUCAACCUGGGAACUGCAUUCGAAACUGGCAGGCUAGAGUCUUGUAGAGGGGGGUAGAAUUCCAGGUGUAGCGGUGAAAUGCGUAGAGAUCUGGAGGAAUACCGGUGGCGAAGGCGGCCCCCUGGACAAAGACUGACGCUCAGGUGCGAAAGCGUGGGGAGCAAACAGGAUUAGAUACCCGUGUAGUC
rnacentral:rRNA from 1 species